GAAACCCAAUCUACAAUGGGAGUCUGAACUGGGGCCACUUGAGGGGGUCUUGUGGAAGAGGAAAACUUGUGGGGCAAUGGGAUGUCCAGGGACACAGAUGGCCAGGUGCUGGGCCUCAGGAUGGAAUCCAGCCACCCCUGCUGGGUGCGAGCUUUCCCUUUGCUGGUGCCUGGGGGCUUGAUGGUGUUAGGGGCUGGAUGGUCCAGAGCUUUUAAGUGAAGGCACCUCUGCCUGUUGCAAGAAAGGGCAGUAUCUGACAACACCACACUGAAGUGUGUUUUCCUGGUCCUGGAGGAAGUGGGUGGGGUGGAGUUAGAAAGCAUAGCAGGUGACUGUCCCACAACCACCUGUUACCAUCUGAAGGGGCAUUUUGAAGGAGAUGGAGUGAAUUCUGAGCAGAGGCACUGAAGCACCUGCCUGUGAGGGGGAAGGAAGAGGAGCUCAGGUAGAACCUGGAGAAGUGAUGUCCCACAGCAACAUGUGACCCUUGAGAAGAACGCACGGAGCCAAGAAAAGCAGCUCCUUUCCUCACAUAAAUACAAGCAGCCCAACCAGGGCAAAGGGCAGGGAGCAAGGCAGAGGAGGAAGGAGAUGAUCAGAGACGCUUGCACGCUUGGAACAAAAGCAAACUGAAAGCGAGAGAGGAAGGAGGUGCAAAAGGCAGAAAGGCACAGGAGAUCUGGCACUGUCCUGAGGUCCAGACCAUUGACACUUGCUCCAGCCCUGGGUGACUCGAGGACAGGCCUCACUGCACAAAUGCUUGAAAACCACUGGGGACCUAGAGGGUGCUCAAGCCUUUAUUAUAUUGAAGAAGAAGGAGAAGCAGCAGCAGCCCCUGUCCACCCUCACAGGCUAGAAAUCAUAUUUGUUCUCCAUGAUAAUGAGUGUGGUUUUUAUAUCUCUCCAGGUGACACACAGUGAUCUUCCUCAGGAGAGUGGAAGCUCUGCAGGUGGGGAUAAUAGGACCUACCUAGCUGGGCUGUUAUGAAGGCUAAAUGAGGAAACACUUGUAAAGUUCUCAGAACUGUGCCUCGAACAAGCAGGGCCGCCUGAGUAUCUUUGAGAAAUGCCCAAGGGUCCUCUUGAGGAAGGGGAUCGUCCAUUGGCACCUGGAGCCUUCCAUGGAAGCUGGCUGGCUGGCGCUCCAUUUUACGCUAGAGUCAUCUCAGACAUCAGUUAGCUACCAAGGCAAGUCGUUAACAUGCAUGACAAUGAAUCCAGUCUUGGCAAUCAUCGUAAUUAAGUGUGCACACUGUAUCAGGGUGCUGAUUAAGUGGCUUCAAUUUUAUGAGUAUGAUUCCUAAUGAUCGUUCUUUUUACUGAUUAAGAUGCAUUAAGCUUCAGAGGACAUUGGGGAUUCCUAUGCACUUGGAAGGAGGAGACUGAAGCCACACAGUGUCUGGAAAGGAAAACCCUUGAUUAAUCACCAGAGAAGAGGAAAGGAAUUUUCUAAGGUGUUUUCUAAGCUGAGUUCAUCCCAAAGAUGUCAGAGUGCUAGAAAAGAGAUGACUCCAAACAAGUCCAACCUGACUAUGGCAUUUGAGAGUUGAAUGUGGCAUUGGAGCUUGUUUUGUUUUUGUUUUCCUGAAAAAAAUUAACCAAGGGAAAUUUCAAAUUUUUCAGCCUGUCUAAAUACUGACAAAUGUCCCAAGAAGCUAAAAGCAGCAGUAUAUGCCACCCUUGGUUCCUGUCCUCAUCCCUACCCCUGCACGGUGUAGCUUUCACGAUUACCAACCAACACCCAUCAUCUCCUCUAACCAUCACCCAUGGGCAUCCUGCAAGACACAUACAAGAAAAUGACACCGCAUUUCACUUACCUGAAAUCAAUAUAGUACUACUGG